GUGCGUGUGGCGAAGCGAUUAACGCGGCGGGCCGCAACCCCGUUACUCGUAGGUUUGAAUCCUACCGCGCACU
rnacentral:tRNA from 1 species